GGCCACGAAACGGGCCGAAUUGUCCUUGAUAAACUAAAAUGAGCCGGCGCUUUAUGCAGAACGGACCACAAAACGGCGCCGCAAUAUUCAGAAAAGGACAGCGAACACCCCCUGCUCAACUUUUGGGCCAGUUGCUAUGUAAAAUCCCGGGCCGAUUUCUCUUCCCAGUCCAGCCCUGAUGAACAUGCAUCACAGGAUAUUAUACCAUUUUGUUAUUUUUUUCUUUCAUUCUUAAAAUCAUUCAAAUUCUCACCACAGUGUAAUUUCUAUGACUGUCGACUCUUGAUUUGUAUUUCUAUAGUGCUUUUCACAAUACACAUAAUUUCAAAGCAGCUAUACGGAAAUCAUACUGUAAGGUCGCUAAUCUCUUUUAAAUUAAAAGUCUCAUUAAAAGUCAGUUUUAAUGUGACCUUAUAAAGUUUAAAUCCGCUCUAAGUAAAACAAACACACCUACUGUAUAUGGUCAAAGUGACAGUUCUCUCAACAAGCUCAAAACUCCCCCACGGACCAUCAGGCCCUCAUUAUUUUUGAGCCUGUAGUGUGUAAUCGACCUGAGGCGAUAUUUUCAGAUGGCGCUCUUUUCAGUCAGACGCUCUUUUUGUGGGUCUGCGGACCAUUGAGACCAACGGCGGGCACACCUGCAGCUGAGCAAGCAUCACACACUCAGUCCUCUGUUGCACUGCUGUGUGUGUUGGUGUGUAUUACAGGUUCAUCUCCGUCAGUUGGCGUACUUAAGCGUGAGUGUGUUUAUUUGUGCACACGUGCAUUGUCUCUGAGCCAUUUUUUCAGGCAAAUGAUAAUGCGAACCCAGGGCAUCAAGUGGAUGGACAGGAGUGCGGGCUUGUUUACGCAGCUGUGGCAGCACAACAACAGAACCCAUUCUCCUUAUGCACCUGUUCAGCCCACGAAAUCAGCUACACUGUCUACACAAAGGCCACCUCUGGCCCUCAGGUCACACUGAGAAGAGAAGGAUGCUGGGAGGGAUGUGUGGAGUCCCUAGUCUCCAUACUUCUCCAUCACCCCCCUUCUAGUAUAGUUUAUCGGAUGCGCUCAGCUUUGGCACUCAUUAAAAUGCAGCCAUUAUCCUGACAUUUGCACGCAUCACAUGCAAAACUAAUUUACUUUUAAGAAAUUAAAAGUUCAUUUUAAUUGAGCCCACGCUGCAGUAUGCAAAUGAAGAGUAUAUAAUGUACACUGAUGCAGAGACAACAGGCAAGAGCUGUAUUAACCCUUUCUGUCCUAGCAUUAAGAGAACAAAAAACAAAUCGGUUUACAUUAUUGUGUAUAUGACCAUCACCUGAUGCAAUAAUCAGAUUCAAUUCAUUUAUUUAUGCUUUUAUAUGAAAUGCAUUUGCAUUUAAAGCAUUCUUUAUCGAAAUGUCCAUGGAGGGGCCCCAAAGGAGAGGAGUGUUGGUGGUGGCGUAGUGGGCUAAAGCACAUAACUGGUCAUCAGAAGGUUGCUGGUUCAAGCCCCACAGCCACCACCAUUGUGUCCUUGAGCAAGGCACUUAACUCCAGGUUGCUCCGGGGGGAUUGUCCCUGUAAUAAGUGCACUGUAAGUCGCUUUGGAUAAAAGCGUCUGCCAAAAUGCAUAAACGACAAAUGACAAAGGGAAUUGUGAAGUGAGUUUUAUUCUUUAGCUGUACAGGCUGUAAUACUGAAAAGAGGAAUAUUUUAUAAACUGUACUCCCUCAACCCAAACCCCAAAUCUAAACCUAACCAUCAUUGGAGUGAAAAUGUAGUGUAAGCAUGAAAAAUGCAACUUCGAAUCACUCUUGUCAAUGAUUUUGUGAACACAAUUACUUUGUGGUUUCAACCCAGAGUCUCCCAAGCAGCUGACGCAACAUGCUCCCAGUCUCGCCACAGGGAAAGGUAAACAAACUGGAGCCGAUGCAAACUGUCUGAUAGGAGAUCACUAUAGGCCGUGUGAUCAUGUUGCAUCAAAUUUAUUUAAUGGCUUGUUUCAGUGCCAUUCAAUGUAAAUAGGCAAAAAAAAAAAAAAACGUGAAAGUGGAGAUUUAUAGUAAAAAUAACUUAAAUAUUGAUCUGUUUCCACCCACACCUAUCAUAUCACUUCUGAAGACAUGGAUUAAACCACUGGACUCUUAUGGAUUACUUUUAUGCUUCAUUUAUAUGCUUUUUGGACCUUCAAAGUUGCACUGUAUGGACCUACAGAGCUGAGAUAUCCUUCUAAAAAUCUUUAUUUGUGUUCAGCAGAAGAACGAACAUCAGACACAUCUGGGAUGGCAUGAGGGUAAAGGUAGGAAGGAAUCUUGGAGGAAUGAUCUUGGGAGUUGUGACGGCUCAUCCCUGAGGACAGACAGAUCCCAUUUACUCUCUCUGCAGGGAGGUCAUCAAGCAUGGGAUGUGGGUCACCACCUCUGAUUUGGACAGGUCUAUAACAUCCAAGUCACCUGGAGCCCAGUGAAGAGAGAGAGUGUAUUUGAAUCAAGAGAGUGAUAGAUGAGGAUGACCUGACGGCAGACGGGGCAAAAGGCACGCCCAUCCCCAGGGAAAGGGGGGGGUGUACAUCAUGCCGGUGGCUCCCCAGCCUAAGAGAACGAGGGAGGAAUGUGGCAGGGCGGGGCCAGGUCGUGAUUAUACACACCCGGUCCCUUAUCAGGCUAAUCAAGUCUCCGAGAGGGAUAAAGGCCGACUGCGGAGGAUUGUGCGGGAGAGAGAGAUCAUUUACGGACAUGUCCGUCGUGUGUGUGUGUGUCUUUUAAGUUUCUCAUUAAAAUAUUAUUAUAUUGAAAAGCCGGUUCUCGCCGCCUCCUUUCCAUUGACUGCUUUACAGUGUCGCU